rnacentral:rRNA from 1 species
UGGGGAAUUUUGGACAAUGGGGGCAACCCUGAUGCAGCGACGCCGCGUGAGUGAUGAAGGCCUUAGGGUUGUAAAGCUCUUUUACCCGGGAUGAUAAUGACAGUACCGGGAGAAUAAGCCCCGGCUAACUCCGUGCCAGCAGCCGCGGUAAUACGGAGGGGGCUAGCGUUGUUCGGAAUUACUGGGCGUAAAGCGCACGUAGGCGGCUUUGUAAGUUAGAGGUGAAAGCCCGGAGCUCAACUCCGGAACUGCCUUUAAGACUGCAUCGCUUGAACGUCGGAGAGGUAAGUGGAAUUCCGAGUGUAGAGGUGAAAUUCGUAGAUAUUCGGAAGAACACCAGUGGCGAAGGCGACUUACUGGACGACUGUUGACGCUGAGGUGCGAAAGCGUGGGGAGCAAA